AGAAAACCAAGGGCGGGCAAACCACUCACUCAUUCCCUCCAACUCAAUCCACCAGCCUUCCCCCAAAUCCCACGACGCAGCCGGAGUCAUCUCACCUCCUCAACCGCUUGCUCGCUGCACCACGUCUGCUGCACCAGGUACUUCCCCAAACCCUAGACUGACACCGCACACUACGCCGGACCACCUCCUCUGUGCCGCUGCAUACCUCGCCGAACCACCUCUUACGCCGGACGACCAGCAAUUGCAGGAAGCAGUCCUUGAAGAGUUGAAGCUCAGAAGAAUGCCAAAAUUGAGGUAGUGAAAGACACACCUGACGAGAUUUUGUACGGUGAAGCCUUACCCAAAAGAGAUGAAAUGUGACGUUGAGGUACAGACACGACAACGGCCACUCUAACAUGGGCUUUAGCUUUACUAGUCAACCACCCUGUGGUCU